rnacentral:rRNA from 1 species
UACAUGGGGUGCAAACGUUGCUCGGAAUCAUUGGGCGUAAAGCGCGCGUAGGCGGUUACUUAAGUCGAAUGUGAAAGCCCUCGGCUUAACCGAGGAAGUGCAUCCGAAACUGAGUAGCUAGAGUACGAAAGAGGGUCGCGGAAUUCCCGGUGUAGAGGUGAAAUUCGUAGAUAUUGGGAGGAACACCGGUGGCGAAGGCGGCGACCUGGGUCGAGACUGACGCUGAGGCGCGAAAGCGUGGGGAGCAAACAGG